GCUGGCUUCAGCAGCAGAUUCCGAAACUGGAGCAAUUCAAAGAUCAGCCUGGGCCCUGCACAAGGAUGGUCCACAUACUUCUGAAGUUGUGCAUGUUUAA
ensembl:snRNA U6 U6 spliceosomal RNA